CGUAGUUCGUCGACAAGCGUUAAUUUUAUGUCGAAAUCGGAGCAUCCUAGAAAGACGGUGCACAUUUUCACUGACACGUGUCAUUCCACCAAAUAUUCACCGAAUAUAAAAUGCUUUCUAACAAUAAAGAACACCACUAUUGCACUCGAGGAAUAUAAGACGAACCAGGAAAUGAGGCGAUCGUGCACCUCGAAUCACGUUACUCGAGACGAACUGAAGAAACAAUCUGUCAAUCCUUCGUGAACAAAUAAUACGAUAAAUUUAAUUUAACGUGUUUUCUAAUAAAUAAAUACAUUUAAUUCCUCGUUGUUUUAGCUGAACUUCACCAGCGACAAUUCCAACGUACAGUCCUUGCGUUUCAAACAACGGAGCAGAAUUUUUCACGGACACUGAGACACUUGUUUACACGUUGCAACCACGUUUCGACUCUCGUCGACUACGUUUUCCUAAUAUUUUAUCGUCGUUUAGAGCUUACCGAGAAGCGCGUACAUCCACGUCGUCGCCGGCGACGAGGAAGCGGCGUCAUCCUCGAGGAGCGCAGAAGGCCUCACGCCUUCCCUCCUCUCAACCGAUGCCCUCGUGCUUCGAGGGUGCCUCUUCGACGACGACGAGGUCGUGCCGCUCGCGGACCACUGAGUCGAAUAUCGCGAGUUCUUCGAUGCUACCACGUGCUAUCGAAAGAAGAGGCGGCCACCUCGAGAACCAUACGAUACACGAGGAACGCCACAACCGUUGGCAACCUUCGCGAUCGUUUACCGUGCCACUACUGUUCCAUUAGAGAGGUGGUGGUUGUAGUGGUGGUAGCAAACGACUUUACGAACUCACGCGCACUCUUCACCCGAGGCGGCAAACGAAUACUGAGCGCGGGUGGUGGUAGUGAUGGUGGUGGUGGACUAGCUGGAGGUGGAAGUGGAACAACACCGAUGAUAGAUCCUGACGCAAUACGGAUUACCGCUGUUCUGGACCACGUGCUCUUCUGGCCCACCGCAGCAGAGCCACAAGAAGCUUUUAAUCUUCGUUACAAUGACAUCAACAAGUCUUUUGUCUUUCAAGGAGACCUUUACAUAUCAGAGGCAAAACAAAAUUCACGCGAUUAAAAUUAUCACAAUCUUCAUUUAUGCGUUUACACAUCCACUUUUAAAGCUUCGAAAUUUUCAUAUUUCUAAAUCUCUGGAACUAAUUUCCGUGUUAAGAGCUACCAAAUUUUCCAAAUCUCCGAAACAACGAACACUUUGAAAAUUCGCGGCAAAUCGAGACACGAGGAAAUAGACCACGCGGUCGCGUGUCGCCGGCGCAAGUGGGAGUGACUAAAACCGCCCUACACCUCGGCGCUUAUACAGCGUCGAUGUCGAUGGUACCGUGAUCAUCAUACGCAGGUCUAAUCCCUCGGCAAGGUUCAACAGGAAACCAAUAAGGUUUUCGCGCAAUCACUUCAUCGGAAUCGCUCAAAAUUUGUUUCGAAAGCUACGACUUCCUUUUUCGAUUGUU
rnacentral:misc_RNA from 1 species